GAAGAAAUGGAAGAAAAACUCUUCAAGUGGAUCUCAGCCUUCAAGUUGGAAUAUCUUUAUAUUCCAUAGUAUCUGGAAUUCUAUAGUGUAUGUAUACAUAAACCAUGUAUAUGUCACAGUAGCAUCUAUGACUGACAAAAGAACUCUGGGAACAAGGCCCCACAGUUGUCACUUUCUGUGGGUGUUGCAAUUACCCUAUCCUGUAAAUUAUUUCAUUGUUAAGCUUUGUCACACUAUUACGGUCAUUACUUUCUUUUGGUUACUUAGAAAAAGUCUCCUCUGAAAACCUCUAUCCAUGUUUCAACACAUCGGAGAUAAAAGGAAAUCUACUUAAAAGAUUAUCAAGAAAGGUGAGGACCUUUCUAUGAAUCAAACGCAAGUACAAGAGACACUGAAGAAGAAACACUUUCCCCAUUUAACAUCCACUCAAAAAUCUCUAGUUUCUCCUGAAGAUGGCUUUUAAGUCUUGCCACAUUUCCCAGAAACUGCUACCUUCUGACUUCUAUUAAAGAAUUUAGAAAAAGAAAACAAACUGAAUACAAGCUACUUAAUGGAUACUGGCAAGCCGUCAAACAGACAAACAAAGAAGUGAGGAUAAAUGAUGCUUUCCAAAUUUAAGAUUUACAUAGGAAAUCCUGUGAUAAGCCACCAUGCUUCAUACCAGGCAGCCCAGGUUAGAAGGCUCUGGAGUCCUGUAAUGCUCAACUAGGUUAAUACUCAACUAGGUCAAGACGCAACUAAGACAAUAUCAAGGAAUCAGACAAUGAAAACUCUACCUUGUCCCAUCAAAGCUUCUGUAUCUCAGGAUGGAGGCAAGAAGGCUGACAUUGAAAGUAUUUCCACAGGAUAAGAUUGAGGUCACAAGCAUUUACUGAAAGACUUAAGCAAAAAUGAGCAGCAAGAUUAAGAAAGAAAUAAGAAAGGCCAACAUUUCAACUGAGGCCGUGGAAGCCAAGGACAUUUUUACUGGAUUGGCCUUUGUGCUUGACAACUGACUGCUACUUCAACUAUACUCUAGUGAUAAUUCUUCCUCUGUAUUAUUCAUUUAGGGAAGUAUGAUGCUGAAACACCUAAGAGCUGCCUUUCUCCAGAGCUAGAACUGCAAUUACAAGUAAAUAAACUAUAGAUUUUUCCCAAA